rnacentral:rRNA from 1 species
AUGAACGCUGGCGGCGUGCCUAAUACAUGCAAGUCGAGCGAACAGACGAGGAGCUUGCUCCUCUGACGUUAGCGGCGGACGGGUGAGUAACACGUGGAUAACCUACCUAUAAGACUGGGAUAACUUCGGGAAACCGGAGCUAAUACCGGAUAAUAUAUUAAACCGCAUGGUUCAAUAGUGAAAGCCGGUUUUGCUGUCACUUAUAGAUGGAUCCGCGCCGCAUUAGCUAGUUGGUAAGGUAACGGCUUACCAAGGCAACGAUGCGUAGCCGACCUGAGAGGGUGAUCGGCCACACUGGAACUGAGACACGGUCCAGACUCCUACGGGAGGCAGCAGUAGGGAAUCUUCCGCAAUGGGCGAAAGCCUGACGGAGCAACGCCGCGUGAGUGAUGAAGGUCUUCGGAUCGUAAAACUCUGUUAUUAGGGAAGAACAAAUGUGUAAGUAACUAUGCACGUCUUGACGGUACCUAAUCAGAAAGCCACGGCUAACUACGUG